GGCGGACGGGUGAGUAAUAUAUAGGUAAUGUGCCUUGAAGAAGGGGAUAACAGUUGGAAACGACUGCUAAGACCCUAUAUGCCUUUAAAACAAAAGUUUGCAAGGGAAAUAUUUAUAGCUUCAAGAUCGGCCUGUACAGUAUCAGUUAGUUGGUGAGGUAAUGGCUCACCAAGACAAUGACGCUUAACUGGUUUGAGAGGAUGAUCAGUCACACUGGAACUGAGACACGGUCCAGACUCCUACGGGAGGCAGCAGUGGGGAAUAUUGCACAAUGGGGGAAACCCUGAUGCAGCAACGCCGCGUGGAGGAUGACACAUUUCGGUGCGUAAACUCCUUUUAUAUAGGAAGAUAAUGACGGUACUAUAUGAAUAAGCGCCGGCUAACUCCGUGCCAGCAGCCGCGGUAAUACGGAGGGCGCAAGCGUUACUCGGAAUCACUGGGCGUAAAGAGCGUGUAGGCGGAUAGAUAAGUCAGAAGUGAAAUCCUAUGGCUCAACCAUAGAACUGCUUUUGAAACUGUUUAUCUAGAGUGUGGGAGAGGUAGAUGGAAUUUCUGGUGUAGGGGUAAAAUCCGUAGAGAUCAGAAGGAAUACCGAUUGCGAAGGCGAUCUACUGGAACAUUACUGACGCUGAGACGCGAAAGCGUGGGGAGCAAACAGGAUUAGAUACCCUGGUAGUCCACGCCCUAAACGAUGUACACUAGUUGUUGUGAGGCUAGACCUUGCAGUAAUGCAGUUAACACAUUAAGUGUAC
rnacentral:rRNA from 1 species